CCUACGGGCGGCUGCAGUGGGGAAUAUUGCACAAUGGGGGAAACCCUGAUGCAGCGACGCCGCGUGAGCGAAGAAGUAUUCCGGUAUGUAAAGCUCUAUCAGCAGGGAAGAAACUGACGGUACCUGACUAAGAAGCACCGGCUAAAUACGUGCCAGCAGCCGCGGUAAUACGUAUGGUGCAAGCGUUAUCCGGAUUUACUGGGUGUAAAGGGAGCGUAGACGGAGCAGCAAGUCUGAUGUGAAAGGCAGGGGCUCAACCCCUGGACUGCAUUGGAAACUGUUGAUCUUGAGUACCGGAGGGGUAAGCGGAAUUCCUAGUGUAGCGGUGAAAUGCGUAGAUAUUAGGAGGAACACCAGUGGCGAAGGCGGCUUGCUGGACUGUAACUGACACUGAGGCUCGAAAGCGUGGGGAGCAAACAGGAUUAGAUACCCCUGUAGUC
rnacentral:rRNA from 1 species